rnacentral:rRNA from 1 species
GGGCCCGCACAAGCGGUGGAGCAUGUGGUUUAAUUCGAAGCAACGCGAAGAACCUUACCAGGGCUUGACAUCCCUUGACCGCCAUAGAGAUAUGGCUUCUCUUCGGAGCAAGGAGACAGGUGGUGCAUGGUUGUCGUCAGCUCGUGUCGUGAGAUGUUGGGUUAAGUCCCGCAACGAGCGCAACCCUUGUCAUUAGUUGCCAUCAUUUAGUUGGGGACUCUAAUGAGACUGCCGGUGACAAACCGGAGGAAGGUGGGGAUGACGUCAAAUCAUCAUGCCCCUUAUGUCCUGGGCUACACACGUGCUACAAUGGUCUGUACAGAGGGAAGCGAAGGGGUGACCUGGAGCGAAUCCCAGAAAGCAGAUCUCAGUUCGGAUUGCAGGCUGCAACUCGCCUGCAUGAAGUCGGAAUCGCUAGUAAUCGCAGGUCAGCAUACUGCGGUGAAUACGUUCCCGGGCCUU